rnacentral:rRNA from 1 species
AGCGAACGCUGGCGGCAGGCCUAACACAUGCAAGUCGAACGAACCUUUCGGGGUUAGUGGCGGACGGGUGAGUAACACGUGGGAACGUGCCUUUAGGUUCGGAAUAACUCAGGGAAACUUGUGCUAAUACCGAAUGUUCCCUUCGGGGGAAAGAUUUAUCGCCUUUAGAGCGGCCCGCGUCUGAUUAGCUAGUUGGUUGAGGUAAUGGCUCACCAAGGCGACGAUCAGUAGCUGGUCUGAGAGGAUGAUCAGCCACAUUGGGACUGAGACACGGCCCAAACUCCUACGGGAGGCAGCAGUGGGGAAUCUUGCGCAAUGGGCGAAAGCCUGACGCAGCCAUGCCGCGUGAAUGAUGAAGGUCUUAGGAUUGUAAAAUUCUUUCACCGGGGACGAUAAUGACGGUACCCGGAGAAGAAGCCCCGGCUAACUUCGUG